UACGGAGGGUGCGAGCGUUGUCCGGAAUCACUGGGCGUAAAGGGCGCGUAGGUGGCGCAGGAAGUCAACGGUGAAAGUUCGGGGCUCAACCCUGAAUCGGCCGUCGAUACUCCUGGGCUCGAGCACUGUAGAGGCAGAUGGAAUUCCGGGUGUAGCGGUGGAAUGCGUAGAGAUCCGGAAGAACACCGGUGGCGAAGGCGGUCGUGCUG
rnacentral:rRNA from 1 species